rnacentral:rRNA from 1 species
AUUUAGUAAAUAAAGAGUCGAGCCUGCCCAGUGAUGAAUAUUUAACGGCCGCGGUACUCUGACCGUGCAAAGGUAGCAUAAUCAUUUGCCCUAUAAUUGAGGGCUUGUAUGAAUGGUUUGACAAGAGCAAAGCUGUCUCUCUAAAGUUUUUUAGAAUUUGGUUUUUAGGUGAAGAAACCUAAAUUUUAUUGAAAGACAAGAAGACCCUAUCGAGCUUAAAACAAAUUUAUUAAAAAGUAUGCUUAUAAUUAAUUAAUUUUAAUAAAAAAUUUUGGUUGGGGCGACCGAGGAACAAAAGAAGCUUCUUUUAUUUAUGAAUACCUAAUAAGUUUUGAGCCAGAAAAAUCUGAUUAAAAGAAUUAGUUACCGUAGGGAUAACAGCAUAAUCUUUUUUGAGAGUUCCUAUCGAAAAAAAGGUUUGUGACCUCGAUGUUGGACUAGGAUAUCCUGAUAGAUGCAGAAGUC